GAUCAUGGCUCAGGAUGAACGCUGGCGGCGUGCCUAACACAUGCAAGUCGAACGAAGAUGCGUGUCAGACUCCCGUUCGGGGUGACGAUGCGUAGACUUAGUGGCGGACGGGUGAGUAAUGUAUGAGCAACCUGCCUUCAAGGAGGGGAAUAACAGUCGGAAACGACUGCUAAUACCGCAUAACAAAGCGUGAUCGCAUGAUCGUUGUUUUCAAAGGAGCAAUCCGCUUGAAAG
rnacentral:rRNA from 1 species